CAGCGGUCUAAUCUAUAUAAAAAACGAGAAACAAAUAACACGUAUAAAUUACAUAAACAAACGACAACUACUGUACAUCAGAUUCCUGACUUAGGACAGGUGCAAACAUUUGCAGCGGGAAUACACGUUUUAAUGGUACCAAACCUUCUCCCUUUUUCUGAAACAAUAGCAUAACAUCACAACAUAGAAAACCACACGAUAAAAUAUCAAUUGGAAGGC
rnacentral:lncRNA from 1 species